AGCGAACGCUAGCGGCGGGCCUAACACAUGCAAGUCGAGCGGGGAGCAAUCCCAGCGGCGAACGGGUGAGUAACACGUGGGUAAUGUGCCUUCUGGUGGGGAAUAACCUUGGGAAACCAGGGCUAAUACCGCAUAUCGUGCUUCGGCAUGAAAGCCUUUGGGCGCCGGUAGAGCAGCCUGCGUCCCAUUAUUUAGUCCUAGUUGGUAGGGUAAUGGCCUACCAAGGGUACGAUGGGUAGCUGGUCUGAGAGGAUGAUCAGCCACACUGGAACUGAGACACGGUCCAGACUCCUACGGGAGGCAGCAGUGGGGAAUAUUGCGCAAUGGGGGAAACCCGUGACGCAGCCACGCCGCGUGAGUGAUGAAGGCCUC
rnacentral:rRNA from 1 species